GGAUCGGCUACGCGGAGCGCUGGUUGUAUGGACGUCUUAUCCAGCGAUGAUUGAAUACUGUACGGAGAGGUAAACUGUUGCUGGGCAGCGAACGGUUCGACUGCGAUUACAUUAGGGUUUCAAUGGCUGAAACUGUUGCUGAACAUCAUCAUGGCUGACAAACGUGGGGUCGACAAAUAGUGGGAGAUUCCAGUACUGUCUCUUACGACGGCACACUGUUGUGGCCAAUGGCGCCUCUAAUUUUGCACAAUCAAAUCUUUUCCUAUUCAUUGGCCGUUAUGGUAACAACGGUGGUGACGGUUGCAGCAGCCCGGAACUCGGGCACUUGUCGGACGACAUGAUUUGGCCAAAUUUCUUCUUCGCGGAUCACGACAGCAGUCUGGACUGAUGAAAAGCCAACAACCAAAAGCAAAACGAAUUUGAGAAGAUCGACCAUUUUCUCGCUAUAGGACUUGGGCGCUGCGUGAUAAUGGCUGGAAGAGUGUCUCAGGAAUGGUAACGCUAUCACCGUCUUUUUAUACUGCAGAUCAUUG